UUCUGCAUAACAACGAAGAAUGUUUAUUUUGAAAAGAUUUUUAAAACCAAUGUUCUGUUUGCUGUCUGUCGUCUGCAAAUGCGAACCUCUCCAUGGGAAUUCACAUCAAGUUACAGGGAACAGCCAGCCGGAGAAUGAGUGCAAAUUUCAGGCAGACCACCCGGCAUUUUGAGAGUUGCUACUUAAGGCCUUCAACAAGAUCAAGGAGAGCAUCUACGCACAGAUCCAUCCAGAGCUUAUGACUUGUAAUGCUUCGGAGAGACUAAGACUGACAGAGUACAAUGGACUCAUCAAACCUAAACUUGGGAAAGAUGGACCUGGGUCUACUGCUGAACAGAGAAAAUCUCCACUAGGAAAGUUCUUCGAUGGUGGUUGCAAAGCAAUCUGUGACACAGGGACCUCUUUUUUGGCCAACAGCUGACGAGGAAUAGAUUUGUAAGCUUGAUGGGUGCUGCACCUCCUGUCAAUCUCGUCAAAGUAAAGGAAACCGAGAGGGGAGACAGACACUUUGCGUGAGUGGAAUCAUAAGAAUGGACUUUCGUACACCCCAACCCUCUGGGCGCUCUUUGGAUCCUUGGUGACAUCUUCAUUGGUAAACACUACUCCAAAUUUGAUCGAGUGGACAACCGUUUAGGUUUUGCUGAUGCUAUCAAGGGUGUAGAAUCCAAGGCUGAGUAAGAAACCUAUUUUGUAAAAGCUUCAAACAAUAUUUGUAAAAUUUAAGAAUUAUUUUGGGAGUAAGGAAAAGUUUAGAUGGGCCAAACAAAAUAAUGCUAAAUUAAUGCAAAAUAACUGCUGAUUGGAAUUAUUAUGCAAACAUUUUUUAUUUUGUCAUUCAUUGACUUAUAAAAUUGAGUGCAAAAACUAAAGGAACUCAGACGGACUGUCAGUCAAACCUGACAUUUGUGGAAAACAAAUCAUGCAAAUAGAAAUAUCGCCUGCCUAUACACCCUACUUGUUGACCACUUUAGCAACACCUAGCAAGUUGUACUCGCCUUGUUUUCAGUGUUACAGGAUAAAAAUUCUAAAAGCAUUGCCCACCUGUGCACUUACCCUUUUUCAGUGGAAACAUGACUAUAUUUUUGUUUAGCCAAACUAUUAAGACAAAUGUUGCCCAAAUGUUGCCCAAGUGUUACCUAAAUUCAGCGUGAUAGGAAACAUGAUUAUAUUUCUGUGUGGCCCAACUGAAAACUACCAAAUUAUUUCAAAUGAACAUGUAUAAGGAAACAUAGCUAUCAUUUUGUUUGGCUCAAAUGUGACCACCAAUAAAUUUGGUUAAAAGUUAGCUUUCAAUAAACUGAAAGUUAAAGGCACUGGACACUAUUGGUAAUUACUCAAAAUAAUUGUUAGGCACCUCUGAAGUACGUAGUUUUAAAGACAAGUAAUUUUCCACUAAAAUAUUUUAAGUUGAUUUGGAGACCUCAGAAUUAGAUUUUGAGGUCCCGAAAUCAAGCAUUUGAAAGAACACAACUUAUGCACAACAAGGGCGUUUGCGACUUCAACGAACAAUUGAGCUCAAAUUUUUUGGUUUUCUUUGUUUAUGCAUUUGUUGAGGUACAUCAAGUGAGAAGACUGGUCUUUGUCAAUUAUCAAUGUGUCCAGUGUCUUAAAAGGUAUUAUACAGGAUUGGGCAGGAUAAACAUAGAUCUUCUUUAAAAGUUUGAAAGCAACAAGAAACUCGUCUUAAAAAAAUCUGGGAAUAGGUCUGCAUAUAGCUGGUUUCAGUUGUUACAAUCAAAAUUCAGGAUAGUGCGUUCACAUGCGAAAAAUUAUGCUCAUUUUCGAAACUGACUCGCAAGUUUGACAUUAUGUCAGCUCUACCAAUCCUGUAUAAUACCUUGAAUAAAAACUUAUGUAUUGUUGUAAUUAAAAAUCUGAGUAUUUAAAGAUACUAUGUCAGAUUUUUGGCCCCAAACAUUAAAAAAUAGAUUUUUUUGAGUGAAUGGUAUUUCAAAGAG